rnacentral:rRNA from 1 species
GACAGAGGGGGCAAGCGUUGCUCGGAAUUACUGGGCGUAAAGCGUGCGUAGACGGUUAUUUAAGUCGGGUGUGAAAGCCCCGGGCUCAACCUGGGAAUUGCAUUCGAGACUGAAUAGCUAGGGUACGGUAGAGGGAAGCGGAAUUUCCGGUGUAGCGGUGAAAUUCGUAGAUAUCGGGAGGAACACCAGUGGCGAAGGCGGCGACCAGGGCCAAUAUUGACGCUGAGGUGCGAAAGCGUGGGGAGCAAACAGG